AUUUAAAUAAUUCAUUUAGAAUAUGAUAUUGAAGAUAUCAAAGUAGGUAAAUCCUUUUAAAUA
rnacentral:tRNA from 1 species